rnacentral:rRNA from 1 species
UGGGGAAUUGUUCGCAAUGGGCGCAAGCCUGACGACGCAACGCCGCGUGGAGGACGAAGAUCUUCGGGUCGUAAACUCCUGUCGAGUGGGACGAAUAGCCCGCGGGCUAAUAUCCUGCGGGAAUGACGGUACCACUAAAGGAAGCCCCGGCUAACUCCGUGCCAGCAGCCGCGGUAAUACGGGGGGGGCAAGCGUUGUUCGGAAUUACUGGGCGUAAAGGGCUCGUAGGCGGCCAACUAAGUCGGACGUGAAAUCCCUCGGCUCAACCGGGGAACUGCGUCCGAUACUGGUUGGCUUGAAUCCGGGAGAGGGAUGCGGAAUUCCAGGUGUAGCGGUGAAAUGCGUAGAUAUCUGGAGGAACACCGGUGGCGAAGGCGGCAUCCUGGACCGGCAUUGACGCUGAGGAGCGAAAGCCAGGGGAGCAAACGG